rnacentral:tRNA from 1 species
GGGCUAGCUUGGAGAGCUAGUAAUAUGUUUUUCAUAUUCAAAGGUUCGAAUCCUUUCACUUCCG